rnacentral:misc_RNA from 1 species
UCUCUCUCCAGAGUUUUUUGGUCUCCGGGAAAUGGUUGCGACGAGACGAAGUGGAUCUCUGCCGUCGACUGUUAAACGGUCGGCCUCCUCCUCCGAUGAUUCUUCUUCUAAGCGACAAAAGGUGGUAGAUAAUAAUAACAAUAAUAAUAAUGCGGAGUCGUCGGAGAAACCCAAGUCUCCUCCACCGACGGAGAAUCCCAAGGAGUUGUCUUCUACUGACCCGCCGGAAUUCGCCGCCGUUACAGCUCCCGACGGUGAGACCACCGCCGUUCCCGCCGCGAAGGGUGAAGAUGCACCUUCCGUAUCCGUUGUAGCAACUCCUAUUGCAGAAGGGGCGACGCCUGCUAUAGUUGAUAAGCCCAGGAGUUCGGUGACUUUGAGGAAGCUGAAUCAAGGUUCGGAAACAACAUCGCCUUGGUGUAGGCUUAUAUCAGAGUUUCCUCAGAACCCAACUAUUCAUGUUUCAGCUACGAAUUUCUUGAUUGGUUCUAGCAAAAAUGCUCAUCUUCCUAUCAAGCAACAAACAGUUAGUGCAACCUUAUGUUCAAUAAGGCUUACACAGCAUGAAGGGAAUUGGGUUGCUGUGCUUGAGAGCAGGGGCAAAGGAUCUGUGCAAGUUAAUGGAAAGACAGUUCGGAGAAGCACUAGUUGCAUUCUCAAUUCAGGCGAUGAGCUUGUUUUUGGUGUUACAGGGAGUCAUGCUUAUAUAUUUGAGCAGCUGCCAUAUGAGCUUGGAGUUAAGUCACCUCCUUCAGAUGUUAGGACCAGUGCAGGAAAAUUGCUUCGCGUUGAGAGAAGAGCAGGAGAUGCGUCAGCUGUAGCAGGUGCUUCCAUUUUGGCAUCGCUUUCAAGCCUGAGGCAAGACCCAUCGCGCUUGAAACCUACGUCUCAGGUUAGUGGGAAUGAGCUGCCUUCUUCCCCUGUUAUUCAUGAAGAUGAGCUUGAUGGCCUCGAAGUCGAUUCAGCUGCACAUGUUGGCAGCAGCAGUGCUGCUGAUGUUUCAUUGACUAGCAAAAUUCCCCCGCUUGAUGGAAACCUGAACGAUAGCAGAGAGGCAGGCAACAUGCCGGAGGAAAGAGAGUGGAACAGAGAUUCAAUACCAGCUUCCGCAGCAGGGGUGUCUCUAAGAUGUGCAGUAUUUAAAGAAGAGAUUCAUGCUGCAAUAGUUGAUGGACAACAACUAGAUGUUUCAUUUGAUAGCUUCCCAUAUUACUUGAGCGAGAACACAAAAAAUGUGCUGAUUGCGGCUUCAUAUAUACACCUGAAGCAUAAAGAACAAGUAAAAUAUACUUCUGAGUUAUCCACUAUCAACCCAAGAAUUCUGCUCUCAGGCCCUGCAGGAUCCGAGAUUUAUCAGGAGAUGCUGGCAAAGGCACUAGCUCAUUAUUAUGGAGCAAAAUUGCUCAUCUUUGAUAGCCAUUCCUUUUUGGGUGGUCUAUCAGCAAAGGAGGCUGAAUUACUAAAAGAGGGAGGCAGUGCACAUAAGAUUUCUGCUAACUCCAAACAGAUUCCUGGAGAACCUGAUUUGUCUAAGGGCAAUGGGUCAUCAUCUGGUCAAGUAACUAAUGCUAACACUCUGACUGAUCCUUUGGGUUUGGAAGCACACCCAAAGAUGGAGAUUGGCAAUGUACCAUCUUUAGCCGGGACAUCAAAGAAUACCUUGUUCAAGAUAGGUGAUAAAGUGAGGUUCAUUGGUUCUGCUUCUGGUGGUUUAUAUUCAAACUCCACCAGGGGGCCAACUUUUGGUACUCGAGGGAAGAUUGUGUUGCCUUUUGAAGAUAAUGCAUUAUCAAAAAUUGGUGUAAGGUUUGAUAAGCCUAUACCAGACGGGGUUAACUUUGGGGGUCUUUGUGAUGAUGGUCAUGGAUUUUUUUGCAAGGCCAGCGAACUACGCUUGGAAUCCACAGGUGCUGAUGAUCUGGACAAAUUACUCAUUAGCACGUUGUUUGAGGUCGUAUUCAGCGAGAGCAGAAAGUCUCCCUUCAUUUUAUUUAUGAAAGAUGCUGAGAAAUCAAUGGCAGGGAGUUCAGAAUCAUAUACAACUUUUAAAAAUCGACUUGAAAAGCUUCCUGGUAACAUCAUUGUUAUUGGAUCUCAUGCACAUACAGAUAACCGCAAGGAAAAGUCACAUCCAGGGGGGUUGCUCUUCACCAAAUUCGGCAGCAAUCAAACUGCUUUGCUCGAUUUGGCUUUCCCGGAUAGUUUUGGGAAGUUGCAUGACAGGGGAAAGGAAGUGACCAAGACAACUAAACUUCUGACAAAGCUUUUCCCCAACAAAGUGACCAUUCACAUGCCACAGGAUGAAGCGCUUUUAUCUGAUUGGAAGCAACAGUUGGAUCGAGAUGCUGAUACCCUCAAAAUGAAAGGAAAUUUGAAUAGCUUGCGAACAGUUCUUAAUCGGAAUGGAUUAGACUGUGAUGGACUUGACACUUUGUGCAUCAAAGACCAGACUUUUUCUGUUGAAAGUGCAGAGAAGGUGGUUGGAUGGGCCUUAAGCCAUCAUUUGAUGCAGAACCCUGAUGCAAAUCCUGACGUGAGGCUUGUUUUGUCUCCUCUGAGCAUUCAAUAUGGAUUGGAAAUUCUACAAGCCAUGCAAAAUGAAAGCAAGAGCUUGAAGAAGUCACUUAAGGAUAUUGUGACUGAGAAUGAAUUUGAAAAGAGACUUCUGGCAGAUGUUAUCCCCCCCAGCGAUAUUGGAGUAACAUUUGAUGAUAUUGGUGCGCUUGAAAAUGUCAAGGAUACGUUAAAAGAGCUGGUCAUGCUUCCUUUACAAAGACCGGAGCUCUUCUGCAAGGGUCAACUAACCAAGCCAUGCAAGGGAAUACUUCUAUUUGGACCCCCCGGAACUGGGAAAACCAUGCUUGCGAAAGCAGUUGCCACUGAAGCCGGUGCAAACUUUAUCAACAUUUCAAUGUCAAGUAUCACUUCAAAGUGGUUUGGCGAGGGUGAGAAAUAUGUGAAAGCUGUCUUCUCCCUG